rnacentral:rRNA from 1 species
ACCAAGACUGUGAUCGAUAGCCGGCCUGAGAGGGCACACGGCCACACUGGCACUGAAACACGGGCCAGACUCCUACGGGAGGCAGCAGUGGGGAAUCUUGCACAAUGGGGGAAACCCUGAUGCAGCGACGCCGCGUGAGCGAUGAAGCCCUUCGGGGUGUAAAGCUCUUUCGGCAGGGAAGAUUAUGACGGUACCUGCAGAAGCAGCUGCGGCUAACUACGUGCCAGCAGCCGCGGUAAUACGUAGGCAGCAAGCGUUGUUCGGAGUUACUGGGCGUAAAGGGUGCGUAGGCGGCUUUUUAAGUUUGGUGUGAAAUCUCCCGGCUCAACUGGGAGGGUGCGCCGAAUACUGAGAGGCUAGAGUGCGGGAGAGGAAAGUGGAAUUCCUGGUGUAGCGGUGAAAUGCGUAGAUAUCAGGAGGAACACCGGUGGUGUAAACGGCUUUCUGGACCGUAACUGACGCUGAGGCACGAAAGCGUGGGUAGCAAACAGGAUUAGAUACCCUGGUAGUCCACGCCCUAAACGAUGCAUAUUUGGUGUGGGCCAUU